UACGAAGGGGGCUAGCGUUGUUCGGAAUUACUGGGCGUAAAGGGCGCGUAGGCGGUGUGUCAAGUCAGACGUGAAAUUCCUGGGCUCAACCUGGGGGCUGCGUUUGAUACGUGCGGGCUUGAGUUCGGAAGAGGGUCGUGGAAUUCCCAGUGUAGAGGUGAAAUUCGUAGAUAUUGGGAAGAACACCGGUGGCGAAGGCGGCGACCUGGUCCGAUACUGACGCUGAGGCGCGAAAGCGUGGGGAGCAAACAGG
rnacentral:rRNA from 1 species